rnacentral:rRNA from 1 species
CCCUUAGAUGUUCUGGGCCGCACACGCGCUACACUGAAGGAGGCAGAGUGUACUCCUGGAUCGAAAGAUUUGGGUAACCCGCGAAUCUCCUUCGUGCUAGGGAUUGAGGUUUGCAAUUAUCCUUCAUGAACGAGGAAUUCCCAGUAAGUGCAAGUCAUAAGCUUGCGCUGACUACGUCCCUGCCCUUUGUACACACCGCCCGUCGCUACUACCGAUUGAAUGAUUUAGUGAGGACUUCGGACUGGGACCGAUGCGGCUUUCGGGCUGCGUCGGUAUUCUGGAAAGAUGUCCAAACUGUAUCAUUUAGAGGAAGUAAAAGUCGUAACA